rnacentral:rRNA from 1 species
UUAAGCGACUAAGCGUACACGGUGGAUGCCCUGGCAGUCAGAGGCGAUGAAGGACGUGCUAAUCUGCGAUAAGCGUCGGUAAGGUGAUAUGAACCGUUAUAACCGGCGAUUUCCGAAUGGGGAAACCCAGUGUGAUUCGUCACACUAUCAUUAACUGAAUCCAUAGGUUAAUGAGGCGAACCGGGGGGAACUGAAACAUCUAAGUACCCCGAGGAAAAGAAAUCAACCGAGAUUCCCCCAGUAGCGGCGAGCGAACGGGGAGCAGCCCAGAGCCUGAAUCAGUGUGUGUGUUAGUGGAAGCGUCUGGAAAGGCGCGCGAUACAGGGUGACAGCCCCGUACACAAAAAUGCACAUACUGUGAGCUCGAUGAGUAGGGCGGGACACGUGGUAUCCUGUCUGAAUAUGGGGGGACCAUCCUCCAAGGCUAAAUACUCCUGACUGACCGAUAGUGAACCAGUACCGUGAGGGAAAGGCGAAAAGAACCCCGGCGAGGGGAGUGAAAAAGAACCUGAAACCGUGUACGUACAAGCAGUGGGAGCCUCUUUUAUGGGGUGACUGCGUACCUUUUGUAUAAUGGGUCAGCGACUUAUAUUCUGUAGCAAGGUUAACCGAAUAGGGGAGCCGAAGGGAAACCGAGUCUUAACCGGGCGUUAAGUUGCAGGGUAUAGACCCGAAACCCGGUGAUCUAGCCAUGGGCAGGUUGAAGGUUGGGUAACACUAACUGGAGGACCGAACCGACUAAUGUUGAAAAAUUAGCGGAUGACUUGUGGCUGGGGGUGAAAGGCCAAUCAAACCGGGAGAUAGCUGGUUCUCCCCGAAAGCUAUUUAGGUAGCGCCUCGUGAAUUCAUCUCCGGGGGUAGAGCACUGUUUCGGCAAGGGGGUCAUCCCGACUUACCAGCCCGAUGCAAACUGCGAAUACCGGAGAAUGUUAUCACGGGAGACACACGGCGGGUGCUAACGUCCGUCGUGAAGAGGGAAACAACCCAGACCGCCAGCUAAGGUCCCAAAGUCAUGGUUAAGUGGGAAACGAUGUGGGAAGGCCCAGACAGCCAGGAUGUUGGCUUAGAAGCAGCCAUCAUUUAAAGAAAGCGUAAUAGCUCACUGGUCGAGUCGGCCUGCGCGGAAGAUGUAACGGGGCUAAACCAUGCACCGAAGCUGCGGCAGCGACACUGUGUGUUGUUGGGUAGGGGAGCGUUCUGUAAGCCUGUGAAGGUGUACUGUGAGGUAUGCUGGAGGUAUCAGAAGUGCGAAUGCUGACAUAAGUAACGAUAAAGCGGGUGAAAAGCCCGCUCGCCGGAAGACCAAGGGUUCCUGUCCAACGUUAAUCGGGGCAGGGUGAGUCGACCCCUAAGGCGAGGCCGAAAGGCGUAGUCGAUGGGAAACAGGUUAAUAUUCCUGUACUUGGUGUUACUGCGAAGGGGGGACGGAGAAGGCUAUGUUGGCCGGGCGACGGUUGUCCCGGUUUAAGCGUGUAGGCUGGUUUUCCAGGCAAAUCCGGAAAAUCAAGGCUGAGGCGUGAUGACGAGGCACUACGGUGCUGAAGCAACAAAUGCCCUGCUUCCAGGAAAAGCCUCUAAGCAUCAGGUAACAUCAAAUCGUACCCCAAACCGACACAGGUGGUCAGGUAGAGAAUACCAAGGCGCUUGAGAGAACUCGGGUGAAGGAACUAGGCAAAAUGGUGCCGUAACUUCGGGAGAAGGCACGCUGAUAUGUAGGUGAAGUCCCUCGCGGAUGGAGCUGAAAUCAGUCGAAGAUACCAGCUGGCUGCAACUGUUUAUUAAAAACACAGCACUGUGCAAACACGAAAGUGGACGUAUACGGUGUGACGCCUGCCCGGUGCCGGAAGGUUAAUUGAUGGGGUCAGCGCAAGCGAAGCUCUUGAUCGAAGCCCCGGUAAACGGCGGCCGUAACUAUAACGGUCCUAAGGUAGCGAAAUUCCUUGUCGGGUAAGUUCCGACCUGCACGAAUGGCGUAAUGAUGGCCAGGCUGUCUCCACCCGAGACUCAGUGAAAUUGAACUCGCUGUGAAGAUGCAGUGUACCCGCGGCAAGACGGAAAGACCCCGUGAACCUUUACUAUAGCUUGACACUGAACAUUGAGCCUUGAUGUGUAGGAUAGGUGGGAGGCUUUGAAGUGUGGACGCCAGUCUGCAUGGAGCCGACCUUGAAAUACCACCCUUUAAUGUUUGAUGUUCUAACGUGGACCCGUGAUCCGGGUUGCGGACAGUGUCUGGUGGGUAGUUUGACUGGGGCGGUCUCCUCCUAAAGAGUAACGGAGGAGCACGAAGGUUGGCUAAUCCUGGUCGGACAUCAGGAGGUUAGUGCAAUGGCAUAAGCCAGCUUGACUGCGAGCGUGACGGCGCGAGCAGGUGCGAAAGCAGGUCAUAGUGAUCCGGUGGUUCUGAAUGGAAGGGCCAUCGCUCAACGGAUAAAAGGUACUCCGGGGAUAACAGGCUGAUACCGCCCAAGAGUUCAUAUCGACGGCGGUGUUUGGCACCUCGAUGUCGGCUCAUCACAUCCUGGGGCUGAAGUAGGUCCCAAGGGUAUGGCUGUUCGCCAUUUAAAGUGGUACGCGAGCUGGGUUUAGAACGUCGUGAGACAGUUCGGUCCCUAUCUGCCGUGGGCGCUGGAGAACUGAGGGGGGCUGCUCCUAGUACGAGAGGACCGGAGUGGACGCAUCACUGGUGUUCGGGUUGUCAUGCCAAUGGCACUGCCCGGUAGCUAAAUGCGGAAGAGAUAAGUGCUGAAAGCAUCUAAGCACGAAACUUGCCCCGAGAUGAGUUCUCCCUGACCCUUUAAGGGUCCUGAAGGAACGUUGAAGACGACGACGUUGAUAGGCCGGGUGUGUAAGCGCAGCGAUGCGUUGAGCUAACCGGUACUAAUGAACCGUGAGGCUUAACCUU